CUCUUGGUAUAAUGCCAUCUUUUUAACUUCUGAUGACUCCUCCAAACUCACCAAAUGAGAUACCUGUACUCAUCUAUAAAGAAAAAAGGCCAGGCAUGUGGCCGAUGACACCCAAUGCUUUACUUCUAAAAUGAGAGGUAUCCGACACUGCUUGUAACAUUUGGAAAUCCUUCACCCUAUGAAUUAGGCCUUCUCUGGUACAGGAAAAGUUGUUCAAAUUUCUCUUCUUUUUAUGUAUGUAUUUGAAAACCAGCUUCAAGCCUAUGCUCACCUGAGCUCUUGCCCAUAUUAAAUGAGAACUGCACAACUUGGGACCCACCAAACUGAACUCAGUUCACCAUACAUGUAUGAUGACUCAGCAAAAACAGAGAAUUGUCGUUUAUUGGUUGGCCAGAAUACCUGGCCUGUCUGGUGCUGCAUCGGUCUUGUUGGGAUCACAAGUUUAUGCAAGCUCUGUUAAAGCUGCUGAAGUGGUGUCCAUAGCUGUGUAGGAUUUUGUGACAAGCUAAGCGGAAGGAGAUUGGACCAGAAGAGCUGCUUAUGGAAGAAGUCAUUAAUACAGUCAACAGAAACUGGAAAGAACCCAGCUGGACUUCAUUACAGAUGGGAAGAAGAUGGCCCCAGGAACAAUUUAUAUAUUUUCAAAGAAUGGCUGUGUAUCAUCCUCAAACUAGUGUGACUUUUAGAUCUGUGAACCAAAUUUGUCAAUUAAUUUAUUUUUUAUUGAUAUCCUUUGGUUUCAGUCAGGAUGUCCUUUAUUUAUGUCUAUGCAUAUUUUUUCAUAAGUAAGUUUUACUGUGUUCAGUGGGUCUUAGUCUCUAGAAAGUCUGUUUAGAAUUACACAAGUCUAAUUUCCAAAACAAUUAAAAACAACAUAUUACACAUUAACAAAGCACUGAUGUCCCAUUUCCCCAUCAUAAUAUGGAUACAGUGCAGUCCAAAAUAUGCACUUUUAAGCUCCAUUUAUUUCAGUGGAAGAGAUCUGAACCCAUGCUUACUGUGGUGUGGCAAUGGGCAGGGGGAAUUGAGGGGGUAUGGAAGGGGCCAAGUGCAUUUCUGGAGGGGCAAGCUGUGUCCCACAUGUUAGAUAUUUGAAACAGAUAUAAUAUUGUACUUCACACUGACACUCUCAUCUUGAACAUAUUUUCAUUGAAAUAAAUCCUGUUGAGUUCAUAAACAAAGGGAGGCAAGUGGGGAGGCAGUGCGUAUGUGUGUGGGGGGGGGGUUGCAUGCUCCCCCUGCCUGGAGCCACCCUUGCCCACUUAACAAGUGCUCGUAUAUUUACAAGUGCUCAGCUUUGGCUCAAUCUUACCAAUUGUUUGUCAGAUUAAUGGAAAACUCUGCAGUUGAAUUUGCUUCUUGAGGAUAUGAGACAUUUAUUAAUAAGUUUUGCUGUUGCUGCUGAAUAUGUUAUGUUUUCCACCUGAAAAGAGUAAGAUUUAUUUUCCCACAGAAAUAUAAUAUUUUCAGAGCAUCCUGUUUGUGUGCAACAUUUAUCAGAAUAGUUUUCUGUUCCAAUGCUUGAUUUAGAAACGGUUCUUGGUAUGCAGAACAAUAUAUUAAUAAACACAGAAUGGACAA